UCUCAUGAGGCUGGAGCAACUGGCUAGGAUUAGCAGUGCACCCACUUUCUAUUAAGCUGGUUGAAAAAGUGGUAGGGAAAUAGUGUGCACGCAUUCUGUAAUCUAAAGACUCAAUUUUUAAAGGCAUGAUAACUGAAUAAAAAAUAAUGUUUACUUAGCUGAGUUUUGUUUUGUUGUGGAGAUGACUGUCUCAUUUGUUUAGCAAGGGGUUAAAUAGAAACUAAUCCCCUAGGCUUACUUUGAAAGGUGGUUAUCUUUCCAGCAACAGAGACCAUUGUUUGCUUUGCCAGAAACAGUGUAAUUGUUUCUUAAACCAGUAUGUUCUCUAGAAGAGUAAACUUAUGAGUAAGAGGAAAAAUAUCAUUGGCAUAAGCAUUGUGUUUGAAAGAUUCAAAAAAAAUGCAUGAAAUUACUUUAAUUUAUAUCUAACAAGCAGGCAUUUUACAUGAUGUAAGCUCUAUUAAAGCUUUUUGUGAAGUGAUUAUUUUGUGUCAGACAAGUGCUCUAAUAGAAGUUUCAUAGGUUAGGGGAAACAGAACAGUAGUAUGGUUGGCUCAAGUUAAUUACAUUUACUUAGAUGAAAUACUAUUCUCCGGUACUGUUCAGGACAAGCAGAGAAAAUAUGGAAACUUUUUUUAGAUAGCAUUUAUCUAUUUCAAUUAUUUUUGACAGUAUGUGUUGCAUGUGUGCUUUUGCUACAGUGCCUUUCUAUCGACAGUUGGUAGCACAAGCCUUUUAAAGCACAAAGGGUAGCAGUACUUCAGCCAAUCUGUGAUAAAAGGGGAAAAAUGAAAUCACUAUGGAAACUGCAGGAAGAAUCUAAAAGCUUUCUUUAUAAAGUAAACGUCUGAUGUUUGUGACUGCGGGGGCAAAAAAUUCAUAAAUCUGUAAGAUGCUAUCAUUUCUGAUUUGUUAUCGCAGCAAAUGCCAAGUCUAAGCAGUCUGACCUUAGCCUUAUUAAGUGCUUUCUUUUCAGAUACAGUUAUUAUUUGACAAUAGAGAGACUGCAGUGCUGCAGGGGGGAAAACUAAUAUAUUUAAAAUGUGUGUGUGUGUGUCUGUGUGCAUCUAUCUAUCUAUCUAUCUGUCUAUCUGUCUAUCUAUCUUUCUUUCUUUCCCCAUGAAGCUUCUGGAGUUGGGAACACUGAAUGUGGGAACUCGGGACUAUUAUUCUGAGCACAAUUCAGAAAACUCUGUUGCGUCCCAUUACGUGCCUUUCUUUGAUGUCAAAUUGAAAAUCUCUGAGCCUCUUCCUCCAAUCCAAAAGCAAAUAAAUACUGAAAGGAAGAAACCUCUCUCCUCUCAGCAGACAGGGCCUGCAAGACUGAAAAAUGAAGGUGACUGUGAGAGCUCUGAUGAACCUGUUUGGACAACAGACAGCACAAAUACCUGUCUCAGUGGAGGAGUUUAAGAGCACUGCAGAGAUCCUCAGACAGUGCAGAAUCUCUUGGCUUACACAGGCCACUGUCUUUCUCUCUAAACAAUACCAGCCAAGUUUCCUCUGUACAACUGAAGAGCUGCAGGAACAGAAGGACAGUAACUAAUACAGCUUUUAAAUUUCAAUCUCCUGGUCUUAUUAGGAAAAAAAUAAUAAUUAAAAAAAAAAAAAAAGAAAAGAGAGAAAGAAAGAAGAGAAAUAAAGAAAAGGAAAAGACAUGAAUUCUAAGGGACUUGGUGAGUAUUUUUAUUGCAUUUGGUUGCUUUAGCUUGGAGAUUAUUUUUAGUCAUAUGUAAUUCAUAAGUAGGAUUAGGGCUUUGAAUGAGUUUAUUUUUUGAUAAAGUUUUGUAAUUAUAGAAAAAUUUAAUGCCUGUUUCUGUUUUUCAAACUUUGAUACCUUUUGAAUUUCUUUGUUUUGUUGUUCUGCUGUAAUUAGUGUAUUAGCUUUGGAAGUUUGAUGUUUCAAGAUGCUCAAAACAGCACUGCUGUUCCUAGUCUUUUUGAAUAUAAACAUGUCCAGUGGUAAUAUGCACUAUUAUAUAUUACAUAUAUAAACAGAAAAACAGGCAUUAAUAUUGUUUUAGUAUAGCAGUUUUGAAAUAUAUUUAUAAUGACCAAAGCAAGGUAAAUACUUUCCUACUAAGUGUCUCAAGCUCUGAAAACUGUGUGAAUGUUUUAACUCAUAUUGAGCAAGUUUAUAUAUGAAGAUUUAAUCUAUGACAGAUGACAACAUGGAAUUAUUUGGCUAUAAAUGUGAGAAGGCAGAGCAAUUCUUGAUUAUAUUCAGACUUUAUGGUACAUUGGUGGAUGUUACUAUAAUGUGUGCUUAUGUUAUUAACAGUAAGGAUUUUCAGGUUAAUGGUAGAAAAACAGAGACAAUACAAUUCUUGCAAAAGCAGGUCAGUCUUUCAGUAAUAAAUAUAAAUCUUAAAAAAGAUAUAGUUUGACAUAUUGGCUUCAUUGUAGCUUUUUAUACAUAUAAUGAAAACCAAUUAUCUGUGGAGUAAAUUUGACUUUGUGGAAUGGAAUUAAAUUGCUUUUUAAAGGCUUCCUUAAACAGCACUAGCUGGAGGGAAGUCCAAUAACAUUUUUUGCUCUGAAUUGUAAUGACUUUGCUACAUCAAUAAAUCAUGUUGUAUUCUGACUUUUAUCAAAAGAUUCCAAGGAAGAAAACUAUACACGGCAGCUUGAAGCUACAGGGGCAGUCCUGCCUGUUUUUCCUCCAACCAGCUACUUUACUUCAGGCCCUUUGAAACCAGCAAUUCCUGUCGAUCAGCACUUAAAGUGGAUUUGCUGACAGAGCCGCGAAGUUGCCAGAGAUCCUCCCUGUGGCCAGCCUGCACCAAUACCCCCGGGGAGCCCCACACUGAGAGCCGCAGACCUCCGGGUGUGACGCAGUGGAUGAUUGAUUGUACCCGCCAGCUGGCUAAUAUCAUAAUUAACAAAGUUGCUACCAUGUCUGAGAAGUUUAAUCGAAAAAAUUGCCGGCAGUAUGAUGCCAUUGUCACAGAGAUCACAAGCACUGCAGUGUUGACUUUUGUACUGGUGGAGCCGCAGGACUAUGUAGAUGUGCAGAGAAGUCGUUCGUUGGGAUAACUAAAGUGAGCUGUGCUUGCAGACGGCGUGACUGGGCUCUGCUGGAGCUGGCCAGUGGCAUCCUGCCUCCGCUCUGCUCAUCACCGCUGGAGCAGCCAUGCUGCAGGAAUGCCAAACCUGGGAGCAGCUGCCUGAGACGAGACGUUGCAUGCAGGGAUGUCAGCAGAAGCACAUGGAAGCACAUCAGCAAGGUUUAGCUGGUGGAUCACGUUGUAAAAUCUGCAGCCAUGAAAGGCCCUCCAUUUAUUGCACCCUUCAAAACGAAAUAUUAGCAUGGGAGGCUAAGCUGGGUGUUAUGGAGUAGUGACUUCAAGUUCUGGUUCACAAGUAAAUCCAUGUCAGUACAAGGAGAGCUGUCGAUGAGAAAUGGAGGCUAAUAACGAAGGAGUCAGUGAAGGAGACCAAUGCCACAAGGGUUAUCUCGCAGCCCCAGAUGCUGGAUAAGUUGGAGGAGGCAGAAUCGCUUUUGGAUGAUAUUCAGGAAGGCCUUGAAUGAUUAUUUGGUGAAGAAAAGGCUAUUCUUUUCAAGGUUUUUCUCUCAAUGCAGAAAUGAUCUCUCAGGAAUCCUUUUUGAGACAAAGGAUCCACUCCAUGUCCAACCACACCUAAAGAAAUGCUUUGAAGGAAUUGCCAAGCUCACUUUUAAUCAUGAGAAAGAAAUUACCCACAUGGAGUCAGCAGAAAAUGAAAAAGUAGAGCUCGUGCUGCGAAUAAUUCCAGCAAGUGCCAAGGGGCUAGUUGAGCAAUGGCUUCAUGAGGUGAAUAUCUUUAGCUCUUACUUAGGGUUUAGUUACUGUAUAAUCAUUUUCUCUUUUAGGAGCAAUGAAUAUCAUAAGCAUAUUUCCUAACUAAACAGCUCUCUGAAUAUUUGUCAAGAUGUUGACAGAUUUCAGCCUUAUUGUUGUUAUUUAUUGCAGCUAAUUUAGCAACUGCAAAUGUGCAAAAAUUAAUUUUAAUGAAAAGCUCUCAGAGUCAGGCUGUCAGCAGAAGUGGGUCUGUGUCUGAAACCAUGUAUGUGAAUAUAUGUCCGAGUCUACAUGUAUGUGUUUUUGUGCUUUCAUGGUGUAAUGUCUGUAGCUGAUGAGGAAAACAUUUUUUAAACAAUCACAGAAAUGUAAGAUUUCAAAUGCUUCCACCCUGUAGAAAUGUAUCCCAUUGUGUUGGAGGGGUUUAAUUUCCAAUACAUUUUAACAAAAGGGAAGAGAAAUUACGUCACUGAUAACAUCCUAACCUUUCCCCUUCAGGCCACUAAUCCAAAUUCAUUGGUUUCAGCAAGAAAUUCGUUUGGUGACCUUUUUUUGUUGUUGUUCACUUUAUUUAACCUUCCUCUGCCAGAGGAUAGGAACUGGCCCUUUUCUUGUUUUUCAUUUCUGUGCCAAAACAAAACAAAACAAAACAAAAACCUUCCCCUUUCCCUAUGUCUCCGUUUCUUAUGGGGCAGGAUCAGCCCUGGAUACGCAGGGGCUGCCAGCCAGCAGGACGGAGCAGCCGGGGGGUGCUAUUUCCACUCCCAGAUAAUUCGGCUGACACCCUGUGUGCAGAGGGGCAGCAAAGCCCCGUGUGGGUAGUGGGUUGGGGGGGGUUGGCCCCAUUAUGUGUCACAUUUUUGCUGACUGGGUGAGCAAAGCUGAGCCCUCAAGCCCUCUCGUGUGUCCCUGUUGCCCACUGUGUCGAGCCACAACAACAUGCUAGUUGGGCCAAGCCCCUUUUUACAGCAGCUACAUCGCAUUUGAGGUGGUCCCACAACAGCAUUCUUUGGGGUAAGGUAGGGAGGAAAACACAUCAGGAUUUAGACAAACACAAAUGCUCCCCACCCUGUUCUCUGUGUCAAAUGACUACCUUGAUAUUUUGGGGAUUAGUUUUCAGCACAAAAUUUUCUUCCUUGGAGGGUGGGGGUGGGGAAGCUACAAUGGGUAAGUGGCAGUUCUGAGGAGCCCAGGAAAAGCCUAAAUUCUAUUACACUAAGCCUGCAAUAUGCUUUUUAGUUUUUACCUUCUCCCACAAAUGAAAGAUGUUUGGAGAGUUGAGCAGCUGUGUUUAUUUUAACACAUCUCAUUUAACCUUCACCUAAAAACAAAUUGGAAGGUUUGGGAGUGCAUUAAUCUGGACCCAAUUAGUGUCUCUUUCUCUCUCAAAAGUGCAACCUGAGAUUAAUGAAUAUAAACUAGAGUUUCAUAUGCAGUCUUUAAAUCAUUUGCAUGUUUUAUGCAUGAUAAUUGAAUUUAUUUAUGCACUUCCUUUCAUUUAGUGAUUUCUUGCUCUUUUCUAUGCUAUCAACAUUAUAUUAUGCAAGACACAGGAUUAUGGUAGGCAAGAAAGGAUAGCAGUAUAUAAAUCAAACCUGAUUUAAUUUUUAGUUCUAGUGUCAACAGUACAUCAGAGUUAAUAUUGGUAUCAUGCCGGUGGGGUACAUGCCCAGGAAAAUGUAAAAUAUUUUUGGUAAUGUAGAGGCUUUUAGAUUUAGAAGACAUUUCUGAUGCAGUUUAGUUUGCUUGCAAGUGUAUAAGCAAAAUUAUUUUCAAAUGGCAGUUAAAUUAUUGUAUUGACUUUUCAAUGACCGUAGAGACUUGUGUUUCAACUUGGCCAAUUAGUAGUAAUAAGAUGAAUAGUAAUUACAUUAAUAAAUAACUGUUUUCAGACCAGGACUCAGUAUCAUAGUCAGGCUAAGAAAAUAAGGGUAUUUUAUAAUUUGUCUCAUUUGGUCUUUGAUUAGGAGAAAAAGCACUUUGGAACUAUAGUAAAUCUUUCAUAGCCCAGAAUGUAGCAGUCCUAGGGACUAGUGAGCCAUAUUAGCUAGCAGCUCUGUGGUAGUAGCUGUUUCAGUGCCAUAGGUAGGGAAUUUUGCUUUGUUUCUUCACUUAAGCUCAGAUGUCUUAAAGAUUUCUUAGUGAUGGUCUCUGCAUUUUUAUAAUGCAUGCCAGGAAGCUACUAUGGCAAAGAGUUUUAAUAAGAUGCUGGUAGUGGUGCUUUCAAAGCUUUAACCUAUACCAGUUUCUUUUUUGUCUCUCGUCUUUCCUUAUGUGUUGAAAGAUGUAUGUGGAAGUGAUAUUUUUCUGUGGUGUCCUGUCUUUUAUCAGUGGAUUAAAUGGCUGUGUGUUGUGAUCGUUUCCUGAUCUCGUAGGUAGGAACGUGUUUAAAGGCUAAAGCUCUGUUAAUUUGUGAUGUAACCAUUUCAGUGUGUUUCUUGUCAUUGAAAUGUAGUUUAAAACGUUCAGUAAUGUAGCAUGAAAUUAUUGGUUAGUUUUGGAAUGGUGGUGAAAUCAUGUGAAGAAAAUAAGUAUUGCAUCUGAUCAAGAUAAAUUCACUCUAGUGUUUUAUGGCUUUUUAUUCCUAUGUGAUAGUAAUAAAGUCUCAUGUAGGGAUGGAAGCCAUGAAAUACAUUGUGAAAAAUCAUCAACUCAGAUGGGGCCAUCAGGAUAGCAUGCUGUAGUUGUAGAGUUCUUGAGAACGAUUGGAAGAUGAUUUAGUAUGUCACCACGUUGACUACCAUGUUUUGCAUUUUGUUUCUUCAUCCCUCACCCAUGUAGUUUGAUGAGAGGAAUUCAGUUUCUAAUGAGCUGAACCAUUUUACAUGUGGUCAGUGUUUAAACUGUUCAUACAUCUUUCAUUUUCUGCUAAAGAUAACACUGUAUAUGAAACACUAAACUAAGAAUUUAAUACAGCCAAUAUAAAAAAACAAAAUGAAUACAAGUAAAAACCAAUGAAUUUGUAAUUGUUUGAAAAUUAAGAAUGAAAAAAACAAACAAACAAAAAAAAGGUCUAACCUGUUAGCACACGGGCCAGGUUCUUUAUUUCCAUGUUCAAGAGCAAAUCUGAGAGAUGAUCUGGAGAUUGACAAAGAAUUCUCUUUUCCCUGCUUACAUUUCUUCGUGAAAGUGCAUAAUCUUUUCUCUGUCUGUAACUGAGAUAAAGGCUGGCAGUGUUGAGGGCAGAAACCAAUCUCUGACAAUGUCCUUCCAGUGCUGCCAUUCCACAUAUUGCCUUACUGCUGCAGCUGUUUAGCUCUUUUCCUUUGGGAAUAUUUUUGGGAAGUUUAUUUGUUCUGAUACAACUAUUUACAAUUUUCAUUCUGUAUUGUUUUUUCUGAAAUGUAUACUAAUAAAACUUUAUUGAUUUUUGGUA